AACGAACGCUGGCGGCAUGCCUAACACAUGCAAGUCGAACGUAGGCUUCGGCCUUAGUGGCGCACGGGUGCGUAACGCGUGGGAAUCUGCCCUUUGCUUCGGAAUAACAGUUAGAAAUGACUGCUAAUACCGGAUGAUGUCGCAAGACCAAAGAUUUAUCGGCAAAGGAUGAGCCCGCGUAGGAUUAGCUAGUUGGUGGGGUAAAGGCCUACCAAGGCGACGAUCCUUAGCUGGUCUGAGAGGAUGAUCAGCCACACUGGGACUGAGACACGGCCCAGACUCCUACGGGAGGCAGCAGUGGGGAAUAUUGGACAAUGGGCGAAAGCCUGAUCCAGCAAUGCCGCGUGAGUGAUGAAGGCCUUAGGGUUGUAAAGCUCUUUUACCCGGGAUGAUAAUGACAGUACCGGGAGAAUAAGCUCCGGCUAACUCCGUG
rnacentral:rRNA from 1 species